AAAAAGUGGAAUUCAGAAACCACUUUAAUAAACGAGGCGUAACCUGAAAAGCCAUAUGAGUAAGGAACAAA
rfam:Flavobacterium sp. KMS contig012, whole genome shotgun sequence.